UACGUAGGGUCCAAGCGUUGUCCGGAUUUAUUGGGCGUAAAGAGCUCGUAGGUGGUUCGCUAAGUCGGAUGUGAAAACUCGGGGCUCAACCCCGAGACGCCAUCCGGUACUGGCGUGACUUGAGUCUGGUAGGGGAGAUCGGAAUUCCUGGUGUAGCGGUGAAAUGCGCAGAUAUCAGGAGGAACACCGGUGGCGAAGGCGGAUCUCUGGGCCAGCACUGACACUGAGGAGCGAAAGCGUGGGUAGCAAACAGG
rnacentral:rRNA from 1 species